rnacentral:misc_RNA from 1 species
GAUGAAGAACGCAGUGAAAUGCGAUACUUGGUGUGAAUUGCAGAAUCCCGUGAACCAUCGAGUCUUUGAACGCAAGUUGCGCCCGAAGCCAUCAGGUUGAGGGCACGUCUGCCUGGGCGUCACAUAUCGUUGCCCAAUGCCUAUUGCAGUGCAAUAGGAAUUUCUAGGGCGAAUGAUGGCUUCCCGUGAGCGUUGUUGCCUCGCGGUUGGUUGAAAAUCGAGUCCUUGGUAGGGUGUGCCAUGGUAGAUGGUGGUCGAGUUAGAACGAUACCGAUCAUGUGCAUGCUCCCCAAAAUAUGGCCUCUAUGACCCACACGCGUCUUUUGACGCUCAUGACGAGACCUCAGGUCAGGCGGGGCUACCCGCUGAGUUUAAGCAUAUCAAUAAGCGGAGGA